rnacentral:rRNA from 1 species
CACGUAGGGUGCGAGCGUUGUCCGGAAUUAUUGGGCGUAAAGAGCUCGUAGGCGGUGUGUCGCGUCGGCCGUGAAAACUUGCAGCUUAACUGUGGGCGUGCGGUCGAUACGGGCAUCACUGGAGUUCGGCAGGGGAGACUGGAAUUCCUGGUGUAGCGGUGAAAUGCGCAGAUAUCAGGAGGAACACCGGUGGCGAAGGCGGUGGUCUGGGCCGGCACUGACGCUGGAGGAGCGAAAGCGUGGGGAGCGAACAGG